CGCCUCUUGCCCUCCAAGUAUAAGAGGUCCCGCCUGCCCAGUGAUUAAUUUUAACGGCCGCGGUAUAAUGACCGUGCAAAGGUAGCGUAAUCACUUGUCUUUUAAAUAAAGACCUGUAUGAAAGGCAAAACGAAAGCUCAACUGUCUCUUUAAUCUAAUCAGUGAAAUUAAUCUCUCCGUGCAGAAGCGAAGAUAAUUAUAUAAGACGAGAAGACCCUAUGGAGCUUUAAAUAUAAGUUAAUUAUAUAUUUAUACACAUCCGACAGGAAAAAAAUAAAUACGUAUAAUCAUAAUUCAAAUUUUCGGUUGGGGCGACCACGGAAGAAAAAACAUCCUCCGAGACAAACAAUUUAGAAUUACACUUCAAAAAUUAAAACAUUUAUUAUAAAUGAUCCACUAAGUGACCAACGAACCAAGUUACCCUAGGGAUAACAGCGCAAUCCUUUCUAAGAGUUCAUAUCGACGAAUGGGUUUACGACCUCGAUGUUGGAUCAGGACACCCAGAUGGUGCAGCCGCUAUUAAAGGUUCGUUUGUUCAACGAUUAAAGUCCU
rnacentral:rRNA from 1 species